GCGGGUGUAGCUCAAUGGCUAGAGCCUCUGCCUUCCAAGCAGACUGUUGUGGGUUCGAGUCCCAUCACCCGCUCCA
rnacentral:tRNA from 1 species